GUGAAAUCAAGGCACCUCUUUCUAACCCUAAUUAGUCCAAAUUUUAUCCUAUUUCUUUCACCAUAUCCAGAUCCGAAUAUCCCUCUUUCUUCAGAUUCUAUCUCGAGGAUUAAAAGGGUUUCAUGAUAAACUGAUGUAUCGAUCUCCAACCUUCGGAUUGCUUGUUGUUUAUUGUUAGCUCUCUCUUGCAUAAAUGCCAUAUAUGUUUCUUACAAAAGCCUUGAAACCGCCAAGGAAUAAUUGAGCUUGGAUGUAGAGUGUAGACUGUAGACUAUGGCAUUGGCAACUCAUCCAAUGAAGGUAAUUGUGAUUUGUCUACAUUUAUAAGAAGCUCAUAUGCUUCACACGGAGUCGGAGAGUAUGUAGUCUGGGAAACUUAUGAGUUAUGGGGCUAUACGGUUUCCAUUGAGCCAGGUUAUAUAUAUUGAUGAGACUCAGUGUACAUGUUACUAUUUCCAACCCCAUGAAAUUGAAUUUUCUAAUGGUAUUCCCAAAACUAAUAGUAGAAGAUUUUAAUUCCAAUUGAACUGUCAUUAUUUCACAGAAUGUCAAAUUGAUCCCUAGGAUCUCAUACUUUCUGAAAAUUUAUAGCAUGCAUCAUUCUGUUUACUAAAGCUGUCAUCAUAUAUCUGUAUUUCUUGAGUCACCAGUUCUCGAGUAUAUUUUAAAUAUUAUUUUAGUGCCAAGGCAAUCUUCCCAGUGAAUUUGUUCGGGGAUCUUGUGGCACUUUUGCCUCCGUGCCUUCAUCGUGGAACAGAGGGAGCAAGUUAAAGCAUUGUGUACCAGCACUCGGUGCUGUUGAGAGAAAAGAUAGGUUUAUAUUGUUGAAAUGCAGGUCAUGUUCAAGGAGCUUCUCUUGCCCGUGGACCAAAGUCAAAACCAUUUAAAGUAUCAGCAUUCAAAGACUACCAGUUUGAGGAUUCUAACAAUGGCAGUGCUAAUAGCUCUAAGUAUCUUAAGGAUGCUGUUGAAGUUUCCUAUUUGAAACAUAAGAGUGAAGAAUCCUCUGUGGAAUCUUCAAAGGCACAAAGUGAUGUUCCUGCUGUUCAAGCAACAACCAGAUCACUGGCUAUUCAGAAUUUAUUCAAGAGUUAGUUGGUGUUACUGCGUGCACCAUCUCAAACCUUAGAAGCAGAUAAAGUUCUUGAAGAAUCUUCAGUGGCAAAAACAUCAGAAAGGCCAAAUACUUCAGUAAAGCAAAAAGGUGAAAUUCUGAAGGCAGUUUGGUAUCGUAUUCUUAGCCUGGAUACGGCAAUCAGGAUACCUUUUUUCCUUUUCACUCCACUAUACGUUGCUGUUAACCUUGUAUAUGGUAUGGAAGUAUCAAAAGAAUUGACUCCCUUGUGGAUUCUUGGACCAAUCGUUGUUACUGUUUAUGUAAAAACGUUCCAAGCAUUAUGCGGGCUCUAUGCAUUCAGCUUCAAACAGACGGCCAAUGUAAUCAAGAAACUGCCUGUGUAUUACUCGCUGGUGCAUGAUCACAUUGUUCAUGGAAAGCUAAAAGAAGCUAUGAGAAUACAUAUAUUCCUACCUCUAGCAGACAUAAAAAACAUGAACUACAGGGAAGUAACUAGCAGGAAAAUGAAGGAUUUGCAAGGGUGGCUGGUUGACAGACAGCUGGAUCUCGUUGAAUUAGUGUGGCCAUGGUAUUGCAGAACAAUUAGGUUUCUAAAGAGGACACAUCUGGUAUAGUAGUGUUGAGUAUUCCCUCCAGAUUCUUUUCCCUGUUCCUGGCCUCAUUUGUUCUUUUCUUUGAGUGAGAUAUUCAGACAUACACAUUUGCUGAAACUCCUUUCUGUACUCGGGUUCUUCUCUCGAGCAUUUUGAGAGAAACUGAAGCGUUUGAGGUAUGUAGGAUUGCUAUAUGCCUAUAUCUGUACUCAUUCAUACCCAUGCGCUUGUCGUUUGUGAUGUGUGGAGACUAGAAUGUCACAAUAUAUGGAUAACUAGGUAUGUUUGCAUAAUGCAUCUAGUUUUGGGAAACUUUUUAGAUAAUUUGUAAAAGAAAUAGUCUUGGCUUGUGUUGUACUAAUGAGGUAACAUUAAGGAAUUGAAUAUUCAUACGAGAUCUUGUGUUACAAA